CUCAAAUAUUGCAAUUUUAGAUUUUGACCCCACAAAAGCAAUUAAAACCCAUAAAACUCCCUUAAACCCUUCCACAAUUUCCCCCAAUCCAAUGGCACCCAGAUUCCCCACGCGCCUCCUUCUCCGCCACGUCCUCCGCCGCCAAAACCAGUCGCCGCCCGUUCCCUCCCGCCACCACUCCACCGCCGCCCUCAUACCUAAACCCCACCCCUUCACACAACCCCUCUUCAAUCCUCACGGAUCCCCCACCAUAUUCAACCACCCCCAACACCCAAUUCUCCGGUUCCAAUCGACCCGGCCCGGCCGCUCUACCCGAUCCAAAAAGCCCGACAUCGCAGCCCGCGCCCGGCAGCUCCAGACACGCCGCCUCUGGACCUACGCCCUCACUAUCAGUUGCAUCGCCGGAUUCAUAGUCAUCGUGCUCAACCAAUUUCAGGAUCAAUUGGUCUUCUACGUCACCCCCACAGAAGCCCUAGACAAGUACACCUCCGACCCCAAGAAAUCCAAGUUCCGCCUCGGCGGCCUUGUGCUCGAGAACAGCGUCGCGCAGAUCCCGUCGUCGCCGGAGAUCCAGUUCGUCAUCACCGAUCUGAUCACUGACAUUCUGGUCAAGUACGAGGGCAGCCUGCCCGAUCUCUUCCGCGAGGGGCACUCCGCGGUGGUCGAGGGGUUCAUCAAGCCGCUCGAUGAGGAAACGAAGAAAAAGGAGGAGGCGCUGUUGAAGAGCACAAGCAAAUUGGGGGUUACCGAGAAGGCGAGAACGUUGGAGUGCUACUUCGCAGCGACGGAGGUUUUGGCGAAGCACGACGAGAAGUAUAUGCCGGCUGAGGUCGCCAAUGCGAUCGAGAAGAACAAGAAGUUUAUUGAGGGGCAGGAGAAGAAUGGGAAAGAAGCUUCGAUCAAUGCUAGUGCUGGUGCUGGGGACGUGAAGGCGUGAUGAAAUCACUCUUUCUGGUAAUGUAUUUUAUUGAUAUUCGAGAAUUUUUCUUGGAUUUUGAAUGAGUUCAGUAUGAUUUUUUACUCAACUCCUCUACUCUCGGCAUUGUCUUUGAAUUUCUUAUUGGAUUGAGUUUAUGUUGCCUCGGUAUGAUCUUGUGGCCUAAUAAAGCAUGAAUAUGAAUGUGUUUACUUGAACGUUUUCCGAAGAGCUGUGAUCUCCUGUAAGACUUGUUAUUAGGAAUUAUGUUUGAUUGCAUUCUCUCUCUACUGUAUUUAGAUGUUUCCCUCUACAUCUGUCCAAGAUAUUUUUGAUGGCGAACUACUAUUUGUUAUUUUGAAGAACACCAAUUAGGUCUAAAGAUGCAGUCUUGAAGUUUUAUCUAAGUUACUAGAUGAUUGCAUAGUCUCUCUCUUUCUCCCAGAGAUCAUGGUGUUCUCUAGUUGGUUCUUUUGUUGCCAGAAUAUUGUGAAUGUGCAAUCUAUAUCACAUUUGGUUACAGAGGAAAAUGAAAUCCCAGUUGAGAACUUGAGAUGUGAUAUGAUGGAAUUGCACCACCAUGUAUUGUUUUUUGCUGUGAAGCUUGUGGCGUAGCCCUCUUUAGAGAUUUUAUCCAAUGUUCUUUAUUGGUUUGUUUGAUGAUUUAAGAACAAUUUCAACAGAAAGUUGUUAUUCUGAAGCAGUGUUAUAAUGAAUGCUAUUUGAUCUUUGUGCAAGAAGUCUUCUCCGUUUAUUCUUAAAUUUGGAGAAUUUUCUGUUUCUGAUGAAAUAAGGUUCCUAAGUAUGGUUUCUGAUCUUUUAAGUUAGUUUAUUUUGGUUUUGUCGCCAUUUUUAUUUAGUUAUAAAAAUUUAGAGUUUGUAUUCGUUAUAAAGCUUUCUUGGUUAUUUAGAAAGACAAGGAUCAAGUGAUUGAAUAAAGAAGGAAGAUUGUUUUUAAUACAAAAUGUUUUUGACUUGUUUGAGUAAGAACUGAACAUUGCCCCUAAAUAGCACAUUAUCUUUUGCCGUUGGCGUUGAAUCAUUAUUCUUUCUUACAUACAACUAUUUUAUACAGAAGCUAUUUGUAAACAUCCCAGAGGAUUUAAUUGUUUGUGCAUUGAGAGUGCUAUUUGGUAUGUCUACUUUCUGAAUUUUCAUCAAAUUUUAUUUUUCAUGCUUUGGAAUCUCUGUAAUCAAACAUUCUCUGCGCUCCUAAUCCACUGCAACCGAGGAAAGCCAGCACCGGACUGGUUGUCUCGCGGGGAUGUCGUAGGAAGUGGUGAAAUUGGUGCCUGGCUUCAAUUUUGACGAGUAUCAGAGGUUUGCUGCCGAUAAGGCUAGAGUUAUAGAUCAGAGAUUCAUGGAGUUAUUGACAUUUCCAGAAUAAAGAAGCUUUGAUUCUUUCUUCCUGUUGUGGGAGAUCAUUGCACUUUCUUUAAUAUACCCCACUCUUCUGGGAUUAAUCCAUUUUAGAGGAGAGAAUUACUAUUUUUCAUCUUUUUCUUUUCAUUUUCUAUAAAAUAGAUAAGCCCUGUUAAGAUCGAACAAUCCAUGAUUAUUCAUCCUUGCAUCAUUCAUUUUCCCAUUAAUAUGCGUGACAUCACAUAUAAUAUAGUAUGAUGGCCAAGAAGAAGGUGGCUGAUCGUCUUUUUUGCUCAAUGGAAUUGAUGAUUUAAAUUCAUACAAUCAUUGACAAUGCACAUGGAAUGAUAAUCUGGCUUGUAUCCUUCCAAUAACCGACGAAUUAUUUGCAUUCAAAUAAUUGAACACCCACCUAAAUUAAGGAAGAAACAGAGUGACGCGUAUACCAAUUUUGUACGAUGAAAUCACUGCUAUUAUUCUUAAUUUAUGAACAAAUCUCCUUGAAUCAGGGAUACAACAAACUGCAUUUCUAUACCCAGAAAAACGACAAUGAGUUUAGCUGGCAAUAAUAGCAUCCUUGUUUUGUAAUUUGCAACUGAAUUCUGUGAAAUUUGGUACAUCCAAUUGUCAUGAUCCUAACCAAAUGCACGAUCUUAAAGUAUACGAGUUGUCGAUUAAACUCAUUUGAAUUCAAGAAGUGGGUUUCAAAUACACAUCAAGACAUGAUAACCCACUAUUUUUGGAAUGAUUCUAUUCUUUCAAACUCAAAUCAAAUUCCAAAAUUCACUCUGUUUCGUCGUGGCUCAGAACCUGGCUUUAGGUCGACAGUGCAAAAACAAAAGUAUAAAAACCACUUUUUUCUUUUAUCAAAAAUUAACAUUUUCGCCAGAAAAAAGAAAAAGAAAAAGGAAGCAGAUGAACCCUACAAAGAAAGAAUAAACAGCUGGGAAAAAUCAAGUGAAAACUUAGUAUAUUAAUAAAACCAAUCAGCCAAAACAGCACAUUCUACUUCCCAUUUAUUUAUUUCACUACCCAAAUUCAGGCGACUGUCUCUACAACAAAUCUAGUGUACUCCUCCCACUUCAAAAAAAAAAAAAAAAAAAAAAAAGUAAAUAUUCACAGCUUCUGUUUUGACUCAUCCGAAACGAUUUGGACUCAGGUGGUAUUAGUAGAGAGCAUACAAUUGAAGAUCCGAGAGCAGGCGUAGCGCAGGCGCGGAUAUAAUCUUACAGUGUGAGCGCUGGAUUCCUUCCACAUAGCCUCCAUGGUUUCGACGAAGAGAUUGAAGCUCCUCACCGGCGGGAUGUAGAGCGUGAGCGGCACCGCCGAGAACGCCACCGCGAAGAACAAGUGCAUCACCAUGUAUUCGCUUUUUUUAAUCGAAAGAGGAGAGAGAAAUUUGAUGUUAUCCUGGUAAGGAAAUAGACUUGGCAGCGAGCGAGGUGGGGCUAUAAGAAGAUGGUGG